GACGAACGCUGGCUGCGUGCUUAACACAUGCAAGUCGAACGCUGAAGCCUGGUGCUUGCACCGGGUGGAUGAGUGGCGAACGGGUGAGUAACACGUGAGUAACCUGCCCCUGACUUCGGGAUAAGCCCGGGAAACUGGGUCUAAUACCGGAUACGACUGCCGGACGCAUGUCUGGUGGUGGAAAGUUUUUUCGGUUGGGGAUGGGCUCGCGGCCUAUCAGUUUGUUGGUGAGGUAAUGGCUCACCAAGACGACGACGGGUAGCCGGCCUGAGAGGGCGACCGGCCACACUGGGACUGAGACACGGCCCAGACUCCUACGGGAGGCAGCAGUGGGGAAUAUUGCACAAUGGGGGAAACCCUGAUGCAGCGACGCAGCGUGCGGGAUGACGGCCUUCGGGUUGUAAACCGCUUUCAGCAGGGAAGAAGCGCAAGUGACGGUACCUGCAGAAGAAGUACCGGCUAACUACGUGCCAGCAGCCGCGGUAAUACGUAGGGUACGAGCGUUGUCCGGAAUUAUUGGGCGUAAAGAGCUCGUAGGUGGUUGGUCACGUCUGCUGUGGAAACGCAACGCUUAACGUUGCGCGUGCAGUGGGUGCGGGCUGACUAGAGUGCAGUAGGGGAGUCUGGAAUUCCUGGUGUAGCGGUGAAAUGCGCAGAUAUCAGGAGGAACACCGGUGGCGAAGGCGGGACUCUGGGCUGUAACUGACACUGAGGAGCGAAAGCAUGGGGAGCGAACAGGAUUAGAUACCCUGGUAGUCCAUGCCGUAAACGUUGGGCACUAGGUGUGGGGGGCAUUCCACGUUCUCCGCGCCGUAGCUAACGCAUUAAGUGCCCCGCCUGGGGAGUACGGUCGCAAGGCUAAAACUCAAAGGAAUUGACGGGGGCCCGCACAAGCGGCGGAGCAUGCGGAUUAAUUCGAUGCAACGCGAAGAACCUUACCAAGGCUUGACAUACACCGGACCGUCCUGGAAACAGGUCUUCUUCUUUGAAGCUGGUGUACAGGUGGUGCAUGGUUGUCGUCAGCUCGUGUCGUGAGAUGUUGGGUUAAGUCCCGCAACGAGCGCAACCCUCGUUCUAUGUUGCCAGCACGUGAUGGUGGGAACUCAUAGGAGACUGCCGGGGUCAACUCGGAGGAAGGUGGGGAUGACGUCAAAUCAUCAUGCCCUUUAUGUCUUGGGCUUCACGCAUGCUACAAUGGCUGGUACAGAGAGAGGCGAACCCGUGAGGGCAAGCGAAUCCCUUAAAACCAGUCUCAGUUCGGAUCGUAUUCUGCAAUUCGACUACGUGAAGUCGGAGUCCCUAGUAAUCGCAGAUCCACAACGCUGGCGGGAAAUACGUUCCCCGGCCUU
rnacentral:rRNA from 1 species